rnacentral:rRNA from 1 species
AGUAACGCGUGAGGAACCUGCCUCAAAGAGGGGGAACAACAGUUGGAAACGACUGCUAAUACCGCAUAAGCCCACAGCUCGGCAUCGAGCAGAGGGAAAAGGAGUGAUCCGCUUUGAGAUGGCCUCGCGUCCGAUUAGCUAGUUGGUGAGGUAAUGGCCCACCAAGGCAACGAUCGGUAGCCGGACUGGGAGGUUGAACGGCCACAUUGGGACUGAGACACGGCCCAG